GGAUUAGAUACCCUGGUAGUCCACGCCCUAAACGAUGUGUGCUAGACGUCGGGGGGCUUGCCCUUCGGUGUCGGAGCUAACGUGUUAAGCACACCGCCUGGGGAGUACGGUCGCAAGAUUAAAACUCAAAGGAAUUGACGGGGGCCCGCACAAGCGGUGGAGCAUGUGGUUUAAUUCGACGCAACGCGCAGAACCUUACCAGCCCUUGACAUGAUGGUUGCGGUUCCGAGAGAUCGGUUCCUCAGUUCGGCUGGACCAUCACAGGUGCUGCAUGGCUGUCGUCAGCUCGUGUCG
rnacentral:rRNA from 1 species